rnacentral:rRNA from 1 species
AUACGGAGGAUCCGAGCGUUAUCCGGAUUUAUUGGGUUUAAAGGGUGCGCAGGCGGCCAUUUAAGUCAGCGGUUAAAUCGUGGGGCUCAACCCCAUUCUGCCGUUGAUACUGGGUGGCUUGAUUGCGGUCGAGGUUGGCGGAAUUCGUUGUGUAACGGUGAAAUGCAUAGAUAUGACGAAGAACACCGAUUGCGUAGGCAGCUGACCAGAUCGCAAAUGACGCUCAUGCACGAAGGUGCGGGGAUCGAACAGGAUUAGAUACCCUGGUAGUCCGCACAGUAAACGAUGAAUACUUGUUUUCGGCGAUAUAAUGUCGGAGGCAAAGCGAAAGCGAUAAGUAUUCCACCUGGGGAGUACGCCGGCAACGGUGAAACUCAAAGGAAUUGACGGGG